rnacentral:precursor_RNA from 1 species
AUAAACAACCACCCUUCGUCUCUUGUUCUCUUCCCAAACACCUCACCCAUGACCCAUCUCUCUCUUAUCUUCAAGACAUGUCCACCCAUCUCUCUUCUCGGAAAUCCAUCCUCCCCGCCCCUCCCCACGCCACCCCCGACCGAUCUAUUCGUAGACGGGGACGGGUUGAAUAAUUCCAUGU